GAAAAACUCAGCGAAAAAUUGUUCAAUUUUUUCAGAGGUGAAAAUUGAAGCCGGAAAAAAUGGCGAUUGGGAGCUUAGCUAGACGAAAGGCUUCAACAAUUUUAUCUUCUAGAUAUCUCAAGUAUUCAUUUUCUCUUAGCAGAGGUUUCGCUUCGGGAUCGGAUGAGAACGACGUCGUUGUUAUUGGUGGUGGACCUGGCGGAUAUGUGGCGGCGAUCAAAGCGGCGCAGUUAGGUCUCAAAACUACCUGUAUUGAGAAGCGUGGUACUCUUGGCGGUACUUGUCUCAAUGUUGGCUGUAUUCCUUCUAAGGCACUUCUUCAUUCCUCUCACAUGUAUCAUGAAGCUCAACAUUCUUUUGCUAGUCAUGGUGUGAAGUUCUCUUCUGUUGAGGUAGAUCUUCCUGCUAUGAUGGCCCAGAAAGAUAAGGCUGUGGCUGGU
rnacentral:misc_RNA from 1 species